rnacentral:rRNA from 1 species
GUUUCAGACCACUUUUCUUCUUCCUAUAGAAUCAUCUUAUUAACCCACCCGCGCACUAUUUUAAUUCUUUCAUUUCCUGCAAAGCUCUUUCUAACACCCUUUUCAGUCUAUUUAAACUAUAGUACCUUUUGCAUCAUGGCUUAGCAAGCUCUAUGAUUUUUUCUUCAUCCCGAAUGAAAGCGAGCUAUAAUAGAUUUGCUAAGAGCUUAAUGGUUUCUGUGGCAUUAGAUUCAUAAAAAUCUAUUAUAGAGGCUACAUACCUACCGCGCUUUCAUAUAGCUGGUUCCCCUCUAUUUUAUCUAAGUAUAAAAAUCUUUUAUAAUCAGUACUUCUUUUCUUUAAAGAUUUUUUAUUUUUCCUAGGAUAAGCUAGGAAAUUCUAUCCCUAUGAUUUCCCUCAAGGAUCAUCUUAUUAUCAAGGCUUAAAAUCAGCCAUUUAUUUAAUCAUAUACGUUCCAGUACUUCACUAUUCAUUCCCAAAAUUAUAACCCCUAAUGUUAAUUUAAGAGGAGUCAUUGACCUAAUUAUCUCUACCCUCAUUUAAACAAUGCUAAGAUUAGUAUUUAUAUCCCUUUUUCUCUCUUUUUUCUAAAUUCUUUCAACCUAUUUGAAUUUCCCCUUAUAUUCUAAUAAUGAACUCUGCAAAUAUUUAGUUCGACUGUUUACCAAAAACAUUGCUUCUAGACUCUCAAUUAGAAGUACAUCCUGCCCAGUGAUUAAUUUUCAACGGCCGCGGUAUCCUGACCGUGCAAAGGUAGCAUAAUCAUUUGCCUUUUAAUUGAAGGCUUGUAUGAAUGGACAAACGAGACUAAUACUGUCUCUUUUUAAAUCUUAAAAAUUAGACUUCAGGUGAAGAUACCUGAAUUAAAUUAAAAGACAAGAAGACCCCGUAGAGUUUAAAUUUUUCUAUUCCUCUCUUAUUUUCCUAAAUUUUGGUUGGGGCGACCUAGGGUUAAAUUUAACACCCUAUAUUUUUUAGAGUAAUCCCUCUAUUCCAAAGACCCUAUUUUAUGGAUCCUCAAAAUAAACUACCUCGGGGAUAACAGGCUUAUUUUCCUAGAGAGCUCACAUUGAUAGGAAAGUUUGGCACCUCGAUGUUGGCUUAGAGUUUCUUGAAAAUGCAGAAGUUUUCUAUAGUCAGUUUGUUCAACUGUUAAAACUCUACAUGAGCUGAGUUCAGACCGGCGCAAGCCAGGUUAGUUUCUAUCUUUAAUUUUCUUAUUCGGGUUUAUUAGUACGAAAGGACCAUUACCCCCAAUAUUAUUGACUACUUGUGUCUUAAAAUAACCACAUCUUAACUUACCACUCCUAACGACUAUUUCCU